rnacentral:rRNA from 1 species
AACAAACGCUGGCGGCGUGCCUAAUACAUGCAAGUCGAACGGGGAAAGUAGCAAUAUGAGUACUAGUGGCGCACGGGUGAGUAACGCGUUGAUAAUCUGCCUUGAAGAGGGGGAUAACUAGUCGAAAGAUUAGCUAAUACCGCAUAAGACCACAAGAACUGAGGUUCAAGGGGUCAAAGGUUUUUCGCUUCAAGAUGAGUCCGCGUAAGAUUAGCUAGUUGGUGAGGUAAUGGCUCACCAAGGCAACGAUCUUUAACUGGUCUGAGAGGAUGAUCAGUCACACUGGAACUGAGACACGGUCCAGACUCCUACGGGAGGCAGCAGUAGGGAAUAUUGCACAAUGGAGGAAACUCUGAUGCAGCGACGCCGCGUGAGUGAUGAAGGCCUUCGGGUCGUAAAGCUCUGUCGCAGGGGAAUAACACAAUGAAUGUACCCUGUAAGAAAGGAUCGGCUAACUUCGUG